GACCUCAAAUCAGGUAGGACUACCCGCUGAACUUAAGCAUAUCAAUAAGCGGAGGAAAAGAAACUAACAAGGAUUCCCCUAGUAACUGCGAGUGAAGCGGGAAGAGCUCAAAUUUUAAAUCUGGCAGUCUCUUGGCUGUCCGAGUUGUAAUCUAGAGAAGUGUUUUCCGCGCUGGACCGUGUAUAAGUCUCCUGGAAGGGAGCGUCGUAGAGGGUGAGAAUCCCGUCUUUGACACGGACUACCAGAGCUAUGUGAUGCGCUCUCGACGAGUCGAGUUGUUUGGGAAUGCAGCUCAAAAUGGGUGGUAAAUUCCAUCUAAAGCUAAAUACAGGCGAGAGACCGAUAGCGAACAAGUACCGUGAGGGAAAGAUGAAAAGAACUUUGGAAAGAGAGUUAAACAGUACGUGAAAUUGCUGAAAGGGAAACGCUUGAUGUCAGUCACGUUGGCUGGGGAUCAACCUUGCUUCUCGCUGGGUGUACUUCCCGGUCGACGGGUCAGCAUCAGUUUUGGUCGCCGUACAAGGGUGAGGGGAAUGUGGCACUCUUCGGGGUGUGUUAUAGCCUUUUGUCGUAUGCGGUGGUCGAGACUGAGGAGCUCAGCACGGCUUC
rnacentral:rRNA from 1 species